rnacentral:misc_RNA from 1 species
GAUGAAGAACGUAGCGAGAUGCGAUAAGUAAUGUGAAUUGCAGAAUUCAGUGAAUCAUCGAAUCUUUGAACGCACAUUGCGCCCCUUGGUAUUCCGAGGGGCAUGCCUGUUCGAGCGUCAUUAUAACCCCUCAAGCUCAGCUUGGUGUUGGGGCCUGCUGCACUGGCAGCCCUUAAAAUCAGUGGCGGCGCCAUCUGGCUCUAAGCGUAGUAAUUCUUCUCGCUAUGGAGUCCUGGUGGAUGCUUGCCAUCAACCCCCAAUUUUUCUAUGGUUGACCUCGGAUCAGGUAGGGAUACCCGCUGAACUUAAGCAUAUCAAUAAGCGGAGGA